rnacentral:ncRNA from 2 species
UCUUAAACUGCAGGCCACUACUGUUGCUAAUAUGCAACUCUGUUGUGUAAAAGCUGGAAUUGCACUUUAGCAAUGGUGAUGGACUGUAAGACAUAC